rnacentral:rRNA from 1 species
UACAGAGGUCUCAAGCGUUGUUCGGAUUCAUUGGGCGUAAAGGGUGCGUAGGCGGCGCGGUAAGUCGGGUGUGAAAUUUCGAGGCUUAACUUCGAAACUGCAUUCGAUACUGCCGUGCUUGAGGACUGGAGAGGAGACUGGAAAUUUACGGUGUAGCGGUGAAAUGCGUAGAUAUCGUAAGGAAGACCAGUGGCGAAGGCGGGUCUCCGUGGACAGUUCCUGGACGCUGAGGCAACGAAGGCCAGGGGAGCGAAACGGG